rnacentral:lncRNA from 1 species
GGAAACCGACAGCGAGAGAAAGAGAACCGGGGGUGCAGGGGAGGCUCACCCCCGUGGGCAAACUACGGUGCUAGUCGCCGGCCUAGUUCUACGAGCUGGUCCGGGUCACUAGUGGCGCCUUGGUGGGCUGCAUGGUGUGAAUUCAUCCCUAAGGGUCGUCGCACAAUCCUCUCCGACCUUCGUAAGGGCCGCGAAUCGCCCUCGCCGUGGACGACCACCUCUGCGGUCAUCUUCACUUCGUGUAAGUGGCCCAAGUCAUCUAAUACACCUACGAGAUGGAUUACGGUCAACAAGAUUAGGAUUUGCGGGGCGGGGUAUGAACCAAUUUCUCACCGGGGUUCAAUUUCACCGACGAACCCGCCUCAACGUGGCUAGUGUCGAGCUCAUCCUUCUCGGCUUCCUGUUGGUUCGCUGUCGUUCCCUUGUCAUGGAUCGGCUUGUAGAGGGGAGAAUUGGGGGACUGGAGUGCUGGGCCGUGACCUCCGGGCAUGGCGCCGCCGUGGGUAUGGUCUCCGUCGCGAUUCGAGUUCCGGAAAGGGGGGAAACUGGGGGUCGCUUGGGCAGUGUGUAUGGACCGUUGAUUCACUCGACAACGACCGCGAUGGUGAGGAAGCCACCCGUUGCAAGGAGAUAGAAUUUGGGCCACCGAUCUCACUAUCAACGGUAAGAUUGCUUGCAGGAUUCAUUGGGGCAUCUGCAUUGUUGGAUCGCGAUCUCACGGCAUAGAACACUUACCCAUUCACUUAAAACCUAGAUCUAAUCUGAACCGAUAGUUCCAGAUCGGAUGGUCCUGAUCUACUAAUACCCGCUCGGCCUGAACAAACUGCAGAAGAAACCCCCUCUGUUUCUGGCAUAUGAACCCGCAGUCCAGCGCAGAGCGAUCUAGGUCUUAGGACGAUUUAUGUAGGAGCCCUUGAACUUUCUGAUAAUGAUGCGCACAAUCUAGUCAAAGGAUAAACUAUGGAAAUUCAUCUAGAAACAAUUCCUAGUGCAAAAUUAAUUCCAGAAACUUAAAUAAUUCCUAGAAAUUACAUUUUAACUCCUUUUUUGUCCAUUCUAGUUCCUAUAAUUUUGUAAUAAUAUUGUUCAUCUUAUAGUGUCUCUGUUUUAACAUAAAAAUUGUAUUAAAAUUGAUCUUCUAAUUAAUCUAGUACCAAACAUAUAAAACCUUUGGAAAUUCAUAACUCGGAAUUCGUAACUCCGAGUUUAGUGAAUCUUUUUCCUAUGAUCUCGUUUUAAUGCGUAGAUUAUUAUUAUGUAUUUGGUAUACAUGUUUGGUGUGAUGUUAAUUUCUCCCUUGUACCAUGCUUGUUUGUAUUGUGGCGAGUAGAAGAGCCAGUGGCCGAGGAGUCUGGUGUUUAGCAGGUAGAAGUUGCUGAGCAUGAGCUCGUUGAAGGCAAGUUGUGCCCUUGACCACUUUUAUUACCCAAUAAUGUUAUUGAUAAUCAUUUAUUCAUGCCUAGGCUUAACUUUGAUUGGACACAAUAGGUCGCCC